rnacentral:rRNA from 1 species
GUGGGGAAUAUUGCGCAAUGGGCGAAAGCCUGACGCAGCAACGCCGCGUGGGGGAUGAAGGUUCUCGGAUUGUAAACCCCUUUCGACCGGAACGAAUCCCCUCCUGGUAAAUAAUCAGGAGGAUCGACGGUACCGGGAGAAGAAGCCACGGCUAACUCUGUGCCAGCAGCCGCGGUAAGACAGAGGUGGCGAGCGUUGUUCGGAUUUAUUGGGCGUAAAGCGUACGCAGGCGGUUUGGUAAGUCAGAGGUGAAAGCCCACAGCUUAACUGUGGCACUGCCUUUGAUACUGCCUUUCUAGAGUGCAUGAGGGGGAAGCGGAAUUCCGAGUGUAGAGGUGAAAUUCGUAGAUAUUCGGAGGAACACCGGUGGCGAAGGCGGCUUCCUGGCAUGUAACUGACGCUCAUGUACGAAAGCGUGGGGAGCAAACAGGAUUAGAAACCCUUGUAGUCC